GCCUUAGUAGUAUAAAUAUUACAUUGGUCUUGUAAACCAAAGACGGAGUACUUACCCUCCCUAAGACA
rnacentral:tRNA from 1 species